UGAUGAUGGUGUGGGCAACCACGAAGCAUGAACUUGAGCCUCUCCCAAGCUUGAUAAAGAUUUUCACCGUCCUUCUGUCUGAAGCUCAAGAUUUCACUCCUCAAUCU
rfam:Capsicum annuum cultivar Zunla-1 chromosome 6, whole genome shotgun sequence